rnacentral:rRNA from 1 species
UACAGAGGUGCAAGCGUUAAUCGGAAUUACUGGGCGUAAAGCGCACGUAGGUGGUUUGAUAAGUUUGAUGUGAAAGCCCUGGGCUUAACCUGGGAAUGGCGUUGAAGACUGUUGAACUCGAGUCGGACAGAGGGUUGUGGAAUUUCCGGUGUAGCGGUGAAAUGCGUAGAGAUCGGAAAGAACACCAGUGGCGAAGGCGACAGCCUGGGUCCAGACUGACACUGAGGGGCGAAAGCGUGGGGAGCAAACAGG